AGAGUUUGAUCAUGGCUCAGAUUGAACGCUGGCGGCAUGCGUAACACAUGCAAGUCGAACGGUGUUUGGUGCUUGCACCAGACAUAGUGGCGGACGGGUGAGUAAUGCGUAGGAAUCUGUCUUAGAGAGGGGGACAACCCGAGGAAACUUGGGCUAAAACCGCAUAUUCUCGAGAGAGGAAAGCAGGGGACCGGAAACGGCCUUGUGCUCUAAGGUGAGCCUACGUCGGAUUAGCUAGUUGGUAGGGUAAAGCCUACCAAGGCGAUGAUCUGUAGCUGGUCUGAGAGGACGGACAGCCACACUGGGACUGAGACACGGCCCAGACUCCUACGGGAGGCAGCAGGUGGGGAAUAUUGGACAAUGGGGGGAACCCUGAUCCAGCGAUGCCGCGUGUGUGAAGAAGGCCUGCGGGUUGUAAAGCACUUUCAGUGGGAAAGAGAAGCGUCUUGUGAAUAAUGGGACGUGGAGACGUUACUCACAGAAGAAGCACCGGCUAACUCUGUG
rnacentral:rRNA from 1 species